CUCCCGUGUCCCAGCCACCGCUCGCCCCGCCCUCUCCCCUCCCUCUCCCCUCCCUCUCCCUCCCUCAGUCCUCGCCGCCCCGCCCGCAUCGCCGCCGCCCCGCUCACAUCGCUGCCACCGACGCCCCUCAGACAACGCCGCGGUGACCUCUCUCCUCGUCUCCCUUGCGCCACGCCGCCCGCAACCUCCCCCCCUCCCGUCAUCAGAAGGGAAGGGAAGAGAAGAAGUAGAGCGAGCAGGUUUGGCGACGGCUAAGGGCUCGCAGAUCCACGGGCGCCAUCGUCCGACCUCGCCCUCUGAGUGUGCUCCCGCCAUGGCCUGCUUGAGACGCCGCCCUCCCCCCCUGCUCCAACCCUAACCCUAGCAUUGCUGCUGCUGGUCAAGGUGCACGCACGUGUCCGGCAGCGACCCUUAGCCUCGGACGGCAGCAGCGGCCAUCACCAAUGACGGCAGCGACAGGGGGUGAAUUGGUUCUGCAGGUUUGUUGCUGUCGUCGUUUCUUCUGUUCCUUCACCGUUUCGGUCGUCCUAUCGUGUGUUGCUGCUUCAAGAGACUGCAUCGUUCAUGCUUCUGGUUGGCUUCUUCCUUUGACGUUAGUUUACUGCUGGUCGCACUCCUAAUGACCUAACAGACAUGCAUCCAUGGUGACUUGGUGAUCUUAAGCAUGUCGAAAAACAUGACAAAAGACAUCCAAUAGCAAGCAAAUUAGUGAAAUAUUUAACCAGCGCAGGGAGCUUACAAGGGCAUGCAGAGAGUUUAUCAGAUGCAUCAGUCAGAUAUUUCAGUUCAGCAUCGUCUUCUCAGACUAACUCAACUGACGAAAAUGGGUUUUCAUUCGAUAUAUUUAGAAGCCACAACUGACUUUGAAAGCAUAGCCUUUCCAGGUUUAAGGGGCAUGGCAUGUUGGCACCAUUCACAGCUGGAUGGCAGAGCAAUGAUGUGCAUCUGCUAGUUAUUGGGAGAUCUGAGGGUUCUUAUGUUUACGACAUCAACAGAAUAAGUAUCUAGAUUCUCUAGCAGGACUGUGGAGUACAAAUUUAGGUGGUAGUGAGCCUCGAUUAGUCAAAGCUGCAACUGACCAAUUAAACAAGUUACCCUUCUAUCACUCCUUCUGGAACCGUACAACCAAACCAACAUUGGGGGGUGGAUCUCAAGGGGAGAGGUGCUGUCCUCCAGAGCUGUUGGAUCCUAAAAUAAAGCUCGCCUCCGCGCAUGAGGAAGGCGAUGCCAUUAUGCCUAGGCUACCAUGGAGCCGAACAAGGAUGUUGUUCAGCCUGUCACCUAACACCAUCAAGGAGGAGGAGCGUGGCCGAAAGACGGCGGCCAGUCCGACCAUGUGCUCACUUCACCCCCUUCUCCCUUCCAAUUUUGGAUUUGAUCUGGACGCCGCCGUCGCCAUGGUUGCCUCGCCGUCGUGGCUCAGAAGUAAAUUCUAGCACAGAAGCCAUAUUGUAGAUUGAAGAGUUUUAGGUUGACAAGGUAAUAAUAUUGUCAGUAUAUUCAUGUUUAUGGUUAGAUUUAUAUCAUGGUAUUUCUCAGAGCAAUAUUUUAGGGUCAUAUGGCAGUCACACACUGAUUUAAACCGAGCAUUAAUAUGCAAUAAGAAUGGACUAUUACCUGGUUGAGAUGUACAAUAUGAAAAGUAUCCAUUAUAAUUAAGGGUUUAGAAUCUGCUACUCCUUGGUUUGUUGUGGAUCCAUGAUGUUUUAGUGUGGUUCAUAUAGAUGGACAACUGUAGUUGCAUUGUGGUUGGUGGGGAAAUUAAUGAUAGCUGCAUUUCAUUUCUCUAUUUACAACUGUUACAGUGAUUGGCGAAUUUAGAAGCCGUCCAUCCACUCGAAUCUAACGGUGGAAAAAUAGGAGUUACGAGGAGUUACAAGACCUAAAUUACACAAAAUUACAAUUAAUGGUGGGACCAUUACAAAAUUUAGGUGGAUCCAGUAAAUUUUUCAAGGGUAGAUAUGUCAAAUAUUUGGAAAAUUCCCCAUGACCGUCUCUCCUCAAUCUCGUGGUGUUCCCGUCAAAUCUCUCAAUCGCCCAAAUGUCGUUAGCCUCUUACCCACGCCACUGGAAUCACGCGCCGCUGCCGGGAAGCCCACCAUAUCUAGCCUCCCCUGGUGCACCCCCUCCUCCACGGUGCAGUCGGUCCGUAUCCCACGUUGCGGGAGCCGCAGCGAGCCACGGGAGCCAGGAGCGGCGGUGCUAAGCGGGCGGGGCCGGCAGCGCAGGCGGCCGGCGGCGGCACUAGAUCCGAGGAACGCCACGGGAGGCGCGCCGGGCAGGGACAACCAUGGCCGAUGGAGUCGAGCGGCAGUCAAUGAAGGCCAGCAGGCAGUGGAGUCCAGCCACGACCUUGCGGAGGAGCAGAGUUGUUGAUGGAACAGAUGAUGAACUCUGUGAACAGAUGGUUGAAAAUCUAUGAAGAGUGUAAGAUGCAAUGCUGCUCAAACUCAAAGUCUCCAGUGCAAAUCUUCAGCCACAACUGUCAAACAAUCUGAUCCCAAAGCUUCAGGGAAAGUUCAAGGGCCUAAACUGGACGAUGGAAGCGGUGGGUUCCAUUUCGGCAAAGGAGGCGGCGGUGACGGAGGGGAUGGUGACGGCAGCAACCGUUUCUUCUCUAAACCUCAAGGAGUUUGAGAAGUACUACCUGCUUGCUCGAACGCCUUUUGCAGGAUAUGACGAUGUGGAGCUAGGGCAAUCAUCAUGAGUCUUGUUAGUAGUAGUGUCUCUUCUGUUCGAUGCGUGAAAUUUCUAAAUGGUUGUUUCUUAGUCUAGAAGUGCAUCAAUUAACUGUCCUGAUUGGUUAUGCUAUGUGUCCUUGUCUUCUAAACAUGUAUGUUGACCGGUGAAAAGCUCAAAAUGUUAUAGGAUUGAGUUUAAGAUGCUGAAACUUGAUGUCAUCUGGCGCUGUGCGUAAACAUGAGGAAAUAUAUGUGCAACUGAGAUUUUGCUCUUAA